rnacentral:rRNA from 1 species
UGGGGAAUAUUGGACAAUGGGCGCAAGCCUGAUCCAGCAAUGCCGCGUGUGUGAAGAAGGCCUGCGGGUUGUAAAGCACUUUCAGUAGAGAAGAAAAGCUCAAGGUCAAUACCCUUGGGUCUUGACGUAACCUACAGAAGAAGCACCGGCUAACUCCGUGCCAGCAGCCGCGGUAAUACGGAGGGUGCGAGCGUUAAUCGGAAUUACUGGGCGUAAAGCGCGCGUAGGCGGUUUGGUAAGUCGGAUGUGAAAGCCCCGGGCUUAACCUGGGAAUUGCAUUCGAUACUGCCUGACUAGAGUAUGGUAGAGGGAAGUGGAAUUUCCGGUGUAGCGGUGAAAUGCGUAGAUAUCGGAAGGAACACCAGUGGCGAAGGCGACUUCCUGGGCCAAUACUGACGCUGAGGUGCGAAAGCGUGGGGAGCAAACAGGAUUAGAUACCCCCGUAGUCC